CGUGGUGGGAGUGUUUACACCAUGAAAAUUGGCAAACACUUACAAAAUCAGGCUUUUUCUCCCAGAGAGCUGGUCGCUAAACAUUUAUAAGCUCAGUAUACAGUAUAACCAAGUCUUUGUGCACCUGGGUCAAACCCAGAUGUAACCAAGGAUGGGAAAAGGGACAUGGCAAAUCCGAACUAUGAAUGAAACCGUGGUGCUGAGACAAAACAGAAACAGGACGUGUUGGUACAAGCAAAUGAAAAAAUCCAGGGCCUAACACACUACGUCUAUGCCUGGACAUGACCGCUUCUAAAAGCACUGUGAAAACCGUUCCAAAAGAUACUCGAGACGUAAGCAGACCAUUGCCGGGCCAGC
rnacentral:lncRNA from 1 species